AUACGGAGGGUGCAAGCGUUGUUCGGAAUCACUGGGCGUAAAGGGCGCGCAGGCGGUUUGGUAAGUCAGAUGUGAAAGCCCACGGCUCAACCGUGGAAGUGCAUUUGAAACUGCCAGACUUGAGUACCAGAGGGGAAAGUGGAAUUCCCGGUGUAGAGGUGAAAUUCGUAGAUAUCGGGAGGAUACCGGUGGCGAAGGCGACUUUCUGGCUGGAUACUGACGCUGAGGCGCGAAAGCGUGGGGAGCAAACAGGAUUAGAAACCCUAGUAGUCC
rnacentral:rRNA from 1 species